AGUGAACGCUGGCGGUAGGCCUAACACAUGCAAGUCGAACGGCAGCACAGUAAGAGCUUGCUCUUACGGGUGGCGAGUGGCGGACGGGUGAGGAAUACAUCGGAAUCUACUUUUUCGUGGGGGAUAACGUAGGGAAACUUACGCUAAUACCGCAUACGACCUACGGGUGAAAGCAGGGGAUCUUCGGACCUUGCGCGAUUGAAUGAGCCGAUGUCGGAUUAGCUAGUUGGCGGGGUAAAGGCCCACCAAGGCGACGAUCCGUAGCUGGUCUGAGAGGAUGAUCAGCCACACUGGAACUGAGACACGGUCCAGACUCCUACGGGAGGCAGCAGUGGGGAAUAUUGGACAAAGGGCACAAGCCUGAUCCAGCCAUACCGCGUGGGUGAAGAAGGCCUUCGGGUUGCAAAGCCCUUUUGUUGGGAAAGAAAAGCAGCAGGUUAAUACCCCGCUGUUCUGACGGUACCCAAAGAAUAAGCACCGGCUAACUUCGUG
rnacentral:rRNA from 1 species